AUGGGGACUGGGUCUAGGCGCAUGCCCAGGGGCUUUUCCCAUCUGGCGCACGAGGUCACCGCGUCCUCCGGGAGGGGCUGGGGUCUUGGAGGGCCAGGGAGGGUCGGGAGGAUCGGAGGGCCUGGGUCCCGCCGCCCACCCCUCCGCUCACCCGCGCCCGCAGGCGAGCCGCCGCCUCCAUGCGCAGGGCCUUGGUGCUGCGCCCAGACCCGCGCGGUGCCCUCCCGCGCGGCGCCGGCUCGGGCAGAGGCGGAGCAGCGGCUCGCUAUUUAUAGCGCCCGGCGUCACGUGGUGGGCGGUGACCGGCCGGCGACCCGGCUCCCGGCCUCUGCACACCUGCUGCCUAAAGAUAGCCCCAGCCCCGGCCCACAGCUACUAACUAGGGGGCCAGCCGGCAGCGAGAGGAAGGCCAGGUGCGGGAAGGCAGCGCGCCAGCGCCUCUCUGGGACCUUGGGGGUUCCCGCGGCCCCACAGCCACAAGGACUCCUAGCGCAGAGAGGAGGGAGGGCUGCACAGGGUCCCCUCCUAGAAGGUCCAGAGGAGCUGGCCAGGCGCACUGCGAGGACGGCCUCCCAACAUGGAAAGCUGUACACCCAAGACUCUCCAUGCACAGCACCCACCAUGUGCCACACACUGCUGCCCCCUGUGGGCUGGCUACUCUCACACCAACAUCAUCCCCAGCUUAUGGCUGAGGAAACAGGCACAGAUCCUAGGGGCGCCUCAGGGUCGUACCAGAUAGGAAGACCGCCAGGGAGCCGUCUCCAGCCCCACCCAUCUCCAGGUUCUGGGCAGAUGCCCUCCAAAGCCCUACCCUGGGUUCCCCACUUGCUCCCACCAACUUGUCCUGGCUUUGCCUCUCAAGAGCACCGUGUCCAGGAACUCAAGUGCUCCCGGGACUCUGGGCCCCAGGGGGAGCCUAGCAUUGUGGUCAACACCAUGCCUGUCCUGGCCCCCAGAGGCCCUCAAAUCACUGUGGAACAGGGCACGUGUAGCCCCCAGCACACAGGGUCCCCAGGGGCCUUGCCUUGCUGGGAACCCUGCUCCCCGUCUGGCUCCCAGACAGACAGCCUGGCCCCUGCAAUCAGCAGUCAGCACAAGAGCGGGCUGGCCAGGGGCCAGCAGAGAACUCAGUUCCUCCAGGCAUUCCCCACAACACACCCAGAGAACAUCCCAUCAGCCAUGUCUGCCACUCUGGCCUCCUCCCACCCCCACCUGGGUGAGCAGUCAGGGGGUGGGAUGGCUCUGUCCAUGCUGGGUGGACCACAGGACCCCAGCCAGGUGGUCCUGCCCACCAGCUCAGGAGUCCCGGGGGAGUGCUCCUGGCAAGGGCUCCCCUCCUGA
rnacentral:lncRNA from 1 species